rnacentral:rRNA from 1 species
GGAAUUGGAUUCAGGCCUAACACAUGCAAGUCGAGGGGUAGAGGAAGCUUGUUUCCUUGAGACCGGCGCACGGGUGCGUAACGCGUAUGCAAUCUACCUUGUACAGGGGGAUAGCCCAGAGAAAUUUGGAUUAAUACCCCAUAGUAUUAUUGAAUGGCAUCAUUUGAUUAUUAAAGUUCCAACGGUACAAGAUGAGCAUGCGUCCCAUUAGCUAGUUGGUGUGGUAACGGCACACAAAGGCGACGAUGGGUAGGGGUCCUGAGAGGGAGAUCCCCCACACUGGUACUGAGACACGGACCAGACUCCUACGGGAGGCAGCAGUGAGGAAUAUUGGUCAAUGGGCGCAAGCCUGAACCAGCCAUGCCGCGUGCAGGAUGACGGUCCUAUGGAUUAAAGGUGCUUUUGUACAGGAAGAAACACUCCCUCGUGAGGGAGCUG